GUUUUUCUAGUAUAGAAGUACAAUUAACUUCCAAUUAAAAAGAUUGACAAUAAGUCAAGAAAAACA
rnacentral:tRNA from 1 species